rnacentral:rRNA from 1 species
UACAGAGGGUGCAAGCGUUGUUCGGAAUCAUUGGGCGUAAAGGGCGUGUAGGCGGUCUGCUAAGUCAUGUGUGAAAUCCCUCGGCUUAACCGAGGAACGACGCAUGAAACUGGCAAGCUAGAGUACCAAAGAGGGGGGUGGAAUUCCCGGUGUAGCGGUGGAAUGCGCAGAUAUCAGGAGGAACACCAAUAGCGAAGGCAGCUCGCUGGGACGUUACUGACACUGAGGCGCGAAAGCGUGGGGAGCGAACAGG